UUGACUGUAUAUGCUGUCUCUUAUGACUAUUUUUCUGCUUGUUGCUGUAUGAAAAAUUAAAGAACUUAUUCAUCUGUGUACAUCCUACCAACUAUUUUCACAUGGCUAGUCCAGUUAAUUGAUCCAGCAAGAGUGCACUCUCAUGCCUGAAGCAGUCCAGGCUUUAACAGAUGCCUUGAACCUCAGCUUUUCCUCUGCUGGCCUUGGAUUAUCUGUAUAUUUGUCAUAGAAAAUAGUAAGAGAUUUUUUUUCUUAUUUUUUUUUCCCCUAAGAAAUAUGCUAAUACAAAAAAGUGCUUGGAAACACAGCUUCUUGGAAUUUGAAGAGCUCCCUGAUCUCUGGAAACACAUACCAAAGGGGGAAAAAAAUACGUACAUUCACAUUCAACAGAGCCACAGAGAACAUGUUUGAACAAGAGGUCAGACAAAUUUAUGGAAAGGUGCCAGUAUAUAUUCCCCUGAAGAGAGAUUAUUCCUGUGUCAAUUAUUCCUACAAGCAACAUCAAAGCACCAAGACUCACAAUAUUGGAACUUUAGGACAACAUCAUUCACUUGAGUGAUAACUAGGAUCAACUCAUUUCAGCUUGUCAUUAUAUUUUACCAGUAUAGGUAAAGGGCUAAUAAUAAGCAACUUAAAUCAAGACUCUUGUUAGCACCUUCUAGACUUUUAUUUUGUCAAAAGCAAUAGUUAAAUUGCUGUGAAAAAGUCAGGGUUGUUUCUUAUAGGAGUGUCAAGUGGAAAAAUGUGAGUAGUAGAAUAUUUCC
rnacentral:lncRNA from 1 species